ACUCAAACUGGGAUUCUGGUCAUGGCCAGGUGACUGCCAUGAGGACAGAGGCAUCUGGCGUUAGUUCCUGGAUGAAGGCUGUACAGGAAGCAUGGUGCCAGCAUCUGCUUCUGCUAAGGGGUUCAGGCUGCUUCCGCUCAUGGCAGAAGGCGCAGGGGAGCCGGCGAGUCACAUGGUGAGAGAGGAAGCAAGAGAGAGAGGAGGAGAUGCCAGGCUCUUUUUAACAAUCAGUUCUCAUGGGAACUCAGAAGAGCAAGAACUCAUUCAUUACUGCAAGGAUGACUCCAAGCCAUUCAUGAGGGACCAGAUUCCAUAACCCAAACACCGCCCACCAGGCCCCAUCUCCCACACUGGGGAUCACAUUUCAACAUGAGACUUGGAUGGGACAAACAUCCAAACUGUAUCAGACAUCAUCUCACGAAUCCACAAAUUUAGCUGCUUUCCCUUCUUUUCUGUAGUUUCACAACCUACUAUAGAAGCACUUUCUAGAGGGGCCUGCAGAAGUGAAUUUCCUCUUCCAUGGCCUCGAUGUAUUUGGCUGUUGAUUCAGUAUCACUGAACUUACUGCCAACAGCACUACAACUCACGCUGAAGGCACCUCAUCCAGCACAGGUAUUGUCUCCACAGGCACAUCGCAGCCUCCUGCACUCAGAGACAGUAGACAGCACUUCAGCACCGUGCCUGGGGACAUUUUAAACAGCAAAAUCACCAACAAAAGUACAAAAAUGCAAAAGCAUGGCUCUGGAUAGACAGCAGGAAGGACCACUUGUUUCUAGUGUGAGAGCUGGGACAAGAAAGCAGAGGGGUCACCUUGCUUCACCUCAGCCGGGAACAGAUGCCUUGGACUACUCAGAUUUUUUCCCUGCUCUGUACAAGUCUGUGAAUCACUGUGAAGCCACAAGUAUUGAUUUGGUUUACAAACACAUUUUAGUGAAGAGGUGAAUUUGCAGGUAUGGAAUCUAGAAAUAAUGAGAUCGGACUGUAAGGCUGGAGACGAAGAUGGAGAGGCUGCUGCCAAGUGACAGGCUGGCUCUUGUCCCAGAAGCUGUGGACUGCCACUGGAGUGUUUCAAGCAAGGGAGUGGCUUGAUCUGUGUUGUAGGAACAGCACCUUUUCUCAACUUAAAAGUGUGGCUUGAAGAGAGGAAGACGGGAGACUGGUUAGGAGAUGGAUGUAUCCAGGUGAGGAUGAGGGUGGGUGAACGGAGCCAGGGAUAGAGGUCCUCAGGGGAGCUGACCUGAGACCCCUGUGAGUCUCGGGUCCUGGCAAUGGGGCGGCGGUGAGUGGUGAGGGGGAGGCAUUGAGGACAGCGCCCGGGGUCCCCGGCUGGGGCACAUGCUGGGGUGUAGGGCAGUGGUCAAGGGCCCUAGCCUUGCAGUCAGACACCCCUGGCGGGCUGUGUGGCUUAGACAUGCUCCUCCACUUCCCUAAGCCUAGUUGUUUCAUGUCUAGCAUAAAGAUUCCGUGUGGCAGGAAGAACACACCCCCGGGAGUGAUUCUGAGAUUGAAAUGAGUGCUGGUGCUUUUCACCUAAACAAGGAAAACGGGGAGAGAAGCAGUAUGUGGGGUGGGAGGGAGAAGAGUCUGUCUGGGCGUGGGGAUUUGGACGUGCCUCUGGACACCCAUGGACAAAUAUCCUGAGGCCAUCUGAUGUUUUCCGGGGGCCACGGGAGUGGGGGAGGGGAAGGUGGGGCGGAGACACAGACUUGGGCAUUACCAGCAGGCAGGGGGCUGCUACCGCCAUGAAGAGUGGGCAGUGCCAGGAUCAGAGGGCCGGGGUAAAGCCUGCGGAAUUCCCACAUUUCAGAAGAGGCUGGGAAGGAGGUCAAGGAAGAGCAGCAGGAGGAGGAGAAAGCAGGAGGGUGUGGAGGGACGGGAGGCGGGGAGGAGGAAUUCCAGGAGGGAGUGGCCGGGGUGACUGUUCUGAAAGCAUGGACUGGAAGCCACAGCACAUUUGGGCUGCAAGGAACCCGAGAGAUCUUCUAGUCUAAUCCUCUUUCAGUCUCCAUCCCCGUCCGGAUGAAGACAGCGAGAUCCAAAAGUAAAGUCAGUUGUACUGUGACUUCCUAGCAGGAUACCCUAACUCCUAAUUCAUAAUAAAACUACAGACAUUCUCAAUUCAAAAUUCUUCCUAUUCAGUCACACUGGACUUUCUCCCAAUGUGACAAAAUUAUUGAGAUUUUAUUGACUUACUGAACAACUGUGGUCUUUGCCAUGUACUAAGAUACUGUGUAGUCAAACUGCGCCUCUGAAAUCUAUUUUUAUUGUACAUUUAACAAAUUUUGCUGUAAACAAUAAGUUUAAAAACAAUAGUCAUAACUCAUUAAACUGUAUCUUUUAAUUUUAAUAUGUUAUUAUACCUCAAUGAAACUCAGUUUUAAAAAACAGUGAAUAAAAAGUUGAGCUAUUAAAACUAAAAAGUAAUUAUUUGCUAGUUUGUAUACACAGACCCAAGAAAUAGAAAUAUAGGAAUAUUUGGAACUUGCUCCUUCUUACAGCCUUGAGGGAACCGCUUAUCCCUUAUUACGCCUUGGUUUCCCUCAAUGAAACUAGAAAAUAUUACCUUGCAAGACGCUCAUAGUUAAUUAAUACGUAUGAAGCUCUUGAAUCUAAAUAUUAAAUACUUGAUGAUAUUGUCUGGUAAAUAUUAUCUAACUGCAUUUAUAAAUACUAGCAUUUUUACAGCCUAGUGGUAAUUACAAAGUAUAGCCCAUUUAAAAUGAAUACAAAUAUGUGCAUAUAUAUUUUUCCUGUGAAAGUAGGAAAAGAAAGUUGAAAUUAUGCAAGAACAAAGUAGAAAAAUAUGCCUCUCAUAUAAGAUUGAGUGUUUCCAUUGAUCAAUAUAAUUUUUAAAAUGUUGUGAUGAUUCUUUUUUUCACUUAAUUGGCUAUGUCAUUUGCACUCUACCUAAGUGAGAUAUUAAUAAAUUGUAUAUGAUGUAAAUAACAGGAAACAAGAAGAACUGCUGGCCUUAUUCAUAGUUAAUAAAGAGAACCAGAUGAUGAAAUUGUCUGAAAAUAAGCCAUUUUGUUUAUUAAAAAGUUACUUCUGCUCCAGGGAUCCAAGUAAUAGAGCUUUGUGUUUUCAGAGGGAAUGUUGCCAUAAAUCAGGGUAUCACAACCUCAGCACUACCGAGGUUUGGGGCAGCUGGGUAAUUCCGUUGUGGGGGCUGUCCUGUGGGCUGUGGGAGGUUGAGCAGCACCCCUGGCCUCCACCCACUAGAUGCCACUAGCACCCCCUCCCUCAUUUGUGACAACCAAAUGUCCCCAGGGGGCAAAAUUGCCCUCAGUUGAGAAACACUCCUAUAAAUAUCAUGUCCAUGCUGGGGUGGGUGUACUUUUACAUGUACGGGGGACUGGCCCGUAGGUUUGGCGGUAAGUCCUGGGCUUCCAAAUUGGCAUUUCCCAGUAGCUGGGCUGAUGUGACAGCCUUCGGUUGCUCGGGCCUCCAGGCAGAAAGUGGAGGUGCAACAGGGGCUGUUUGCACGCUGCCUUGGCAGAGUUGGGGUGACAGGCACAUCUCAUGUGUUCACAGACACUGCCAGGCCUUCUCAGAGCUCAUGACUUGCCUCCCCUUUCCCUGCAGUUAGGGAGCCUUUUGUCUUGCCCUCAAUUCUCCAAAAUAACCCAAAAGGUUUCCUUUAUCUUUAACUCUGUUAUAAACAUGUUGACACUUUGCCAAACAAAAACCUGAUGAAACAUAUUCUGAAUUUUCUACUUUCCUACAUAAAAACUUACAAACAACAGGCUGAAGGAAAGAAUGUGUAGAGAAGAUACAGGAAGUGACAUCAUAAAGCUGGAGGAGACUUUAGAGCUGAGCUGCUCUUGGUCACGCGGCACACAGUCCCAGUGCUCAGUCACCAUGUGUCCUGCAUGGCUCCCAUGUUGGACGGCACAGACGGAACAUCUCGAUCGUUACAGGAAGUUCCACCAGAUGGCGCUGUCUCCAGGGACAUCUAGGGCACAGGCCUUACUUUAUAACGAAGUCCUAGAGAGAUUUAUGUUCACCCGGCUGAAGAGAAGCAACGAGCUCAGGGCAGAACCAAGACUGGGAAGCAGCCCAGUUAACCCCACGCUGCGAUCUCUCCCGCACACAACUGCCUUGUGGCAGGUCCACACCUGGAAUGCCACAUGGGGUUUUGGCCAUCAUAGCCUAAGAAUGAGGGUCAGAUAGGUAAUUAAGAGAAUGGACCAACUCUAAAUAAAAUGUUAGUCCAGUUCAGUAACCAUGUCUCGUAUACCUGCCAUGUACCAGAACUUGGUCUGGUUAUGAAGUUGAAAACAAACAAACAAACAAAAACCAAAUAGAUCCCUGUCCUAGCAGGGCACACAGACUGGGAGGCACUCCUUUCAAUCCCACGUAGCCAUCCCAAAGAUAAAGAUGAGCCCAGGGCCCAGCCUGGGGUGGGGAAGGUGGGGAAGGCGUGCUUGCUAGAGGAGAUAGCAUCCCUGUAAAGAAGGCAAGAAACGAGCUGGGAUGGAGGGAGUUGCAGAGCCCAGCACUCAGGGGAGCAGACGGGAGGGCGGCCUGAGGAUUCCCCUGACUGUGGCUUCGUUCCACUCACCUGGCUGUGCCCGGCCACCCCAUGUAGAGGUCCCUCCUCAAGGCAGCAUGUUUAGGGCACCGCCUCCACACAGAUUCCCUUCCCAUCCUGUGGCCCGCUUCUCAUCCUCCACACCUGUCUUGCUCAGUGACGCUAUGCUCCAUGCAGGCUUAUGCUUCUGGAGCCUGAGAACCAGCCUCCACUCUUCUCUCUCACACUCUAUAUCUAAGCUGUUGGCACACUCUAUUCCUUUUUUUUUCGGUAAGUUCUAGAACCUGCUUCAUCCAUCCCCAUGACUAUCUUUGUCUCGGCUUCCAUCAUCUUUUUCUCUCUUUCCCUCUCUUCUUUUUACUUUUUAUGUUUUUUAAGAGAUAGGAUCUUGCUGUGUUGCCCAGGCUGGAGUGCAGUGGUGCGAUCAUAGCUCACUGCAGCCUUGCACUCCUGGGCUCAAGAAGUCCUCCCGCUUCGGCCUCCUGACUAGCUGGGACUACAGGCAUGCUCCACCAUGCCCAGCUAUUUUUUAAAUUUGUUGUAGAGGUGGGGUCUGUGUUGGUCUGACUGAUUUUUGAACUCCUGGCCUCAAAUAAUCCUACUGCCUUGGCCUCCCAAAGCACAGACUACAGAUGAGCUGUGAUGCUUGGUCUUCUUUAUACAUUAAAAAAAAUUGAGAUAUAAUUCACUGCCAUAAUAUUCAUCCUUUUAAAGCAUACAAUUCAGUAGUUUUUAGUGUAUUCACAAAGUUG
rnacentral:lncRNA from 1 species